CCCCUAGAUGUUCUGGGCCGCACGCGCGCUACACUGAACAGUUCAACAAGUCUUAACCUUGGCCGAUAGGUCUGGGUAAUCUUUGAACGCUGUUCGUGAUUGGGAUAGACCUUUGCAAUUAUGGGUCUUCAACGAGGAAUUCCUAGUAAACGCAAGUCAUCAGCUUGCAUUGAUUACGUCCCUGCCCUUUGUACACACCGCCCGUCGCGCCUACCGAUUGAAUGGUCCGGUGAAAUCUCGGGACGGCGGCUUGGUCGCUUGCGUCCGACUGCUGAAACUUGAUUAAACCAUAUCAUUUAGAGGAAGGUGAAGUCGUANCA
rnacentral:rRNA from 1 species